CACGUAGGGCGCGAGCGUUGUCCGGAAUCAUUGGGCGUAAAGAGCGUGUAGGCGGCCCGGUAAGUCCGCUGUGAAAGUCCAGGGCUCAACCCUGGGAUGCCGGUGGAUACUGUCGGGCUCGAGUCCGGAAGAGGAGUGUGGAAUUCCUGGUGUAGCGGUGAAAUGCGCAGAUAUCAGGAGGAACACCAAUGGCGAAGGCAGCACUCUGGGACGUGACUGACGCUGAGACGCGAAAGCGUGGGGAGCAAACAGG
rnacentral:rRNA from 1 species